rnacentral:lncRNA from 1 species
UCGCCUGCUCCCCCAACCAGCACCCCCUUCCAUUCUUCCCCAAAACAUAUCUUCCAUUUCUCUUUUCUCGCCGCCUGCCCCCCUCCCCCCUGCAUCAGUCUUGUAGUGUUUUGUCGCCGUCACUAUUUUCACCACUCCUGCAAACGCCCCCUUCAUUAAAACACUACAAAGGCUAUUAGAAUUGAAUAAACACUACAAUAUUUUUAAUGGUGUUCCUCAAUGAUCGGAGGAAUUUUUUGGCGAUGGCAGUGGAGCUGUUGGUGGUAAAGGGAAGAGAUGGUGGAGUAAGAAAAAAAAUAAAGAUAAAGUCAAUAAUUUAUUUUUCUAUGUGGCACUAGUAAUGACGUGGCAUCCUACGUGUAGGAGAUUGUAUUACACGCACAGCAGCCUCCUGUCAUAAGCGUUUAUUAUUCACGUUUUAAACGAGUAUAAGUGUUCAGUUGGCAAAUAUCUAACUUUGAGGAACGGCAUAAUAAAGUGCGUGAAGUACAUGUGCCAUUUAGACUAUUCUGCCAAAAAUAUUUUCUAUUUACUCCGACGGUUGUUGUCCUCCACAAGGCUGCUUCUAGUAGCAAUUUCUUUUCCUUUGUCAACAAUAGCGUGCUUGAGGUAAAAAUUAUCUCUACCAAAGAUAGCAACAUUAGCAAUGUUAUUCUCCAUAAUAACUAUGUGGAAAUAUCCUUAAGAUUGUUGUAAAAAUUUGAUGGAUAUGGAGAAUAAAUGUUUAGCUUGAGGCGUGUCAGAGACACUGUCCUUAAAGAUAUUUCGCACACACAGUAAUAUAUAAAAUUAGAUGUAUUCCCAAGAUUUGUUUAGCUUGAGGCGUGUCAGAGACAUUGUCCUUAAGGAUAUUUCGCCCAUAUAGUGAUAUAUAAAAUUAGGCGUAUCCCCCAAGAUUUAACAAGCCCUUCUAGUAUAAUUAGGAACAGAAACAAUAAAAAUUUAUAAAAGAAGAAAAUUCCAGCACAAAGAAAAAAAGAACUAAAGAUAUU